rnacentral:antisense_RNA from 1 species
AGGAACAUGGGGGAGGAUAGUGAAUGAUUCUAUAAAGUGAAAGAGGCCUUAAUUUGUAUGUUGUCUAGGGUUGGGGUCGGCACAUCUCUUCCCACAAUGCCUGGGGUCACCCAAAGGGCAUCAAGUGUCCCAAAUUCUUCAUGCCAAACUGGUCUCUGUUUUCACUGGCAUUUAUGGAAAGCCUGUAGUGCCUAAGCCUACUGGGGAGAGGAACUGGGUCUGAGGGUGAUCACCAACAAAAGAGCUGAAGCAGUUGUCAUUCCUCUCCCAACCCCGGGCAAAUAAUCUGCAAAUAGUUCAGAAAUGGAUGCUGCUGAAACAUGGGCCUGGCUAUCUGGGUUUGAAUCUUAACUUCACCUCUAAUGUGUUGUGUGAUCUUGAGUCUCACAAGGAAAUUGAGGCUGGUAACAUCCCCUUCUUACAGGGUACUGAGAUGGCCACUGUAGAAGAGACCAAUAAGGUACCUCACCUACUGCCUAGCACAUGGGAGGAGCCGCGGCCCACGGACACCGUGUGCUCAUACUGCAGCCUCACCUGCUCGCACAGGCAGAUGGACACAACAAGGGCGCCAAAUCGCUCACCUCCCAGAAUCACAAUCUUCCUGCGUGUCUCCUCACUCAUGAAUGGCUUGACCAAGUUGAAGACCACGGGGAACAGUUUGGGGGCUGAAACACAUGUAAAUCUCUUGAGAAGCUAGACCAGAAAGGACGUGGGGAUACAGAGCCACAACCAAGAGCAGGUGCUGGACAGGAUUGGACAGAUAUGGCUGCCACUCUCUGAUGUGUGACCUUCAGCAAGUUACCCACCCUCUCUAAGUCUUAGUGCAGUUAACUGGAAAAUGAAGGUGAAAUAAUGUAUGUAUAACACCUGGC